UACGUAGGGUGCAAGCGUUGUCCGGAAUUAUUGGGCGUAAAGAGCUCGUAGGCGGUUCGUCGCGUCGGCUGUGAAAUCCCGAGGCUCAACCUCGGGUCUGCAGUCGAUACGGGCGGACUGGAGUUCGGCAGGGGAGACUGGAAUUCCUGGUGUAGCGGUGAAAUGCGCAGAUAUCAGGAGGAACACCGGUGGCGAAGGCGGGUCUCUGGGCCGAUACUGACGCUGAGGAGCGAAAGCGUGGGGAGCGAACAGG
rnacentral:rRNA from 3 species